UACAGAGGUCUCAACCGUUGUUCGGAUUCAUUGGGCGUAAAGGGUGCGUAGGCGGUCGGGUAAGUCGGAUGUGAAAUCUCAGGGCUCAACCCUGAAACUGCAUUCGAUACUGCCUGGCUAGGGUACUGGAGAGGAGACUGGAAUUUACGGUGUAGCAGUGAAAUGCGUAGAUAUCGUAAGGAACACCAGUGGCGAAGGCGAGUCCCUGGACAAACCCUGACACUGAGGCACGAAAGCCAAGGGAGCAAACAGG
rnacentral:rRNA from 1 species